rnacentral:rRNA from 1 species
GAUGAACGCUGGCGGCGUGCCUAAUACAUGCAAGUCGAGCGAACGGACGAGAAGCUUGCUUCUCUGACGUUAGCGGCGGACGGGUGAGUAACACGUGGAUAACCUACCUAUAAGACUGGGAUAACUUCGGGAAACCGGAGCUAAUACCGGAUGAUAUUUUGAACCGCAUGGUUCAAUAGUGAAAGACGGUCUUGCUGUCACUUAUAGAUGGAUCCGCGCUGCAUUAGCUAGUUGGUAAGGUAACGGCUUACCAAGGCAACGAUGCAUAGCCGACCUGAGAGGGUGAUCGGCCACACUGGAACUGAGACACGGUCCAGACUCCUACGGGAGGCAGCAGUAGGGAAUCUUCCGCAAUGGGCGAAAGCCUGACGGAGCAACGCCGCGUGAGUGAUGAAGGUCUUCGGAUCGUAAAACUCUGUUAUUAGGGAAGAACAAAUGUGUAAGUAACUGUGCACGUCUUGACGGUACCUAAUCAGAAAGCCACGGCUAACUACGUG